UACCUACUGGUGGAGGAUCGCCCGUUCAUUUGCUUCCUCUGAGAUUUGUGCCAACUUUUUGUGUAUAAAGUACAACUAAUUUGUUAUGCAAUACGAACAGCAAGGAAAGAAAUACACUAGUGUAUGUCAGAUUUGUGUCAGCUUUAGCUAUGACCUAUGACAGAGAGUAAGUGUGAAGAAAAGGACAGCCAUGUGUUCUCUCUCCCCAAGCAAAAUUGUUGCAUUUUAUUUCAUU
rnacentral:lncRNA from 1 species